CACGUUCGUGUGUUAAGUUGUUCCAAAAAUUUCUUUUAUUUUGAUAAUUUUAUUAUUUUAGAAAAUUUUACAACUCGUAGGAUUUUAUUUUGGAAAGCAGCUAUUUAAUUUUCUGCAAAUAUGAUACUUUUAUUUUCUCUUAAUUAAAACUUAAUCGAACAAUCAUCCUUUUCUUUAUCCAAUCCAAAGAUUUUUAACCUCGUUACUCCUCCUUAUUGAAAUACCAUCAUCAUCAUCAUCAUCAAGUCUACGAGAAUAACCAAUGCGUGGAAAUCCAUUCAUUGAAUGGAUCUCAGAAGGCUCUUCGAAAUCCUGCUCCGCCCAAAACCCAAGUGGUACGAAAUACCGGCCUUUUUUCAGCCCGAGGAAGCUUGAAAAGCUUGUAUCCUCUCUCAAUUUCGGCACAACGACGCCGUCCAAUUACGUUUCCUCGAGAGAAGUUCAACGAGAAACUUCGAUCGAACCUCUCCCCACCCCUCAAAUCUCUUUGCACCCUCGUGAAACCUUUCGAUUCCUCCUCUCUUUUUUUUCUCUUUUCGUUUCCAGCGAUUAUUUCGACGAAUGGAUUCGCGGUUCGAAACGAGCAGCAUUUUUAACAGGCUCAAUUUCACGCGAACCCCUUCAGUUUCUUUGAAGGAGGAGGAUGCGAACGAUUUCGUUCCUUCCUUCGAGGAUGGAUGGGCGUAAUUUUGGAGGAGAGACGACGAUGAUGAAAGUGUCAAAUGUUUUCCAACCGUGAGCACUUCCGGUUGGAGGAGUGAUUUUGUCUUUUGCAUCGAGAUUUUUUCUUUUUGCGCGAAAAUGGACGAAGAUUCGUCGAUAUCAAGUCUCUUUUAUUAUUGGUAAUUAUAUAUCUUUGGAUAUUCGUGUUGAAAUAUUAAUACAACAAGGAAAGGAAACGAAUGAAAAAUACUUACCAUGCUUAAGUAAAUUAAUUAUCACGUAAAAUAAUUUCCAAUAAUCUGAUGCACAAUUUCAAUAGCUCGGUUCACUUAAUAAACAAUCGUCCAAUCAACUUUUUCUGUAUUUGUUCAGAAGCCACUAGAUCCUUGGAAUCCUUCCUUCACGAAGACAUUAACAUAAUGAUCGCAUAUAAUAAAACGUUUUAUAAAAGAACGUGAUGUCAAUAAAUUGCAAUCAUUUCGAAAACGAUGUUAUAUUAAUGCAUUAACCGUGCACGAUAACCGUUACGCGAAUCGAAAAUCGUCGAAACGAGAUUGGGAUCCACCAGAUGGCGACAUAUGACGGCGAGCUGUCACGUGACACCGCUCGUUAUCUAUGCAUUAUCCGUAAUACGCUGUUAAAGGCUCGUUACGCCCGCCUUGCGCGGAAAGUGUGCGCGUGAAAAUUAAACCGCGUUGAAAUUUACUUUUAACCUAUCAAGUUGCGUCGAUCCUCUUCGUACAAGAGCAAGAAGAACGCUUCUUUGUUAUAGUAUAAUCGAAUUUCUUCUCGAGAAAACGUGGAAAAAAGGAACAGAGACUGGUGCCAGGGAUUGACGACAUUACGUGAUUUAAUGCCUUCCCAUCCGCAAGGUUAAUUUAUCCAAUCCUCGCGUUCGAUUCAAUUCGAUCAGAUCUGCUUUCUCCCGGAGGGAAGAAAUUUCGGAGGGUUCGCAAACAAAUUUAUCAUCGGUCACCAGGCUUCUUUCGAGGGAUAGGCGGUCUCCAAGUGUGGAAGCUUUCCAAGUGUAUCGAUGUCGUUGGAACUGUCGUUCGUCUCUUCUCUCCCAUUAAUUUAUUUCGACUUGUGUUUACGCGUGUUUUUUUCUGGAUUUUUCUCUGGCUUCGUCUGGUGUGGAUAAAUGUCCCACAUCAAAAGGAGAGGAGAGGGGAUCUUGCUUUCGUCAAUUCUUUAGGAAGCAAUGAGAUUAUUUUUGAGUUGGUUAUGAUCAUCUAUCCGAUAAGAUGGACAAGGAUGGAAAGAUGCGAGAAUGAAAGGCUCGUUUACAUCGUAUUGUAAAAUAUGAAUUUUGGAAAUUUAGGGAAAAAUGCCGAUUUAAGAUCGAUCGAACUGGCAGAGAAGCAUAAUAUCUUUGAUAAUUCAUUUAAGGAUUUCAAUCAAAUUUAUGAAAUUAAUUUUCGAGAUCCGACGAGAGAAAACGAAUCUCUCCUCCUGACGAGCGUGUGCUGCUACGUUUGCGAUGAUCUCGAGGAAUCGAAUGACAUUCGAUCGAUCGACGGGGCUUAUUGUUAACUCUAGCGCCCAUAAGAUUGUUAACCUAGAAAGGGCGAAUUUAUUCCGAAAAUAUUCCGUAAGUUACGUGAGCUCGGGUUGAGAAAAGUUUUCGAGGUUGGCCCUCUGUUCUUUUCGAUGAUUGAUCGCCACGAAGGAUCACGCAAAGGUGAUGCCUUCCACUUCUGUUGUAUGUUAAACGCAGCCAUGAUGGAAUCAGUCUAGACCGGUGGAGCGUGUCAAGAUCAUUUUCAGACAAGUGGAAUAAACCGCACGCUGGCCAGGCCUGUGUAGAAUGGAUCGAUCAUUUCCAGGCACAAGUAGAACAAGAAACCUGUUGCUAAACAAGUAGAGUAGAAACGAACGAUGAAUGGCCAGGCAACGAUAACAAAGUAUCGCCAAUAAGAUAUUCCAGUGAAAUAUUUCUCAAUUCCUGAUCAAAACGACAAUUUGUAACCAAAGGAGAAUAAUAUUUUUCCAUCGUGUCCGAGUUCAAUAUUCCGCAGGGAAGUUUCAGGCGCCGCGGAGAAUAUUUAAAGCCCUCUUGUUUCUGCAUGGAAAACAAUGGGGCGCAGCUAACAGAGCGAGAGACAGUAGAGGGUAACGUGACUUCUUUUCUUAUCUCCUCUUUCGUCUCUUUUGUGCUCGUUGCCCGGAAUAAGGACAGCCAGAUUAGACGGGGCGCAAGUACAGUGGAAUAGGCCGACUAUAAGUCAGACAUUAGGUUGCAAACUGAUACUUUUUCUUUCGGCGGAUCGUUCCGAUUAAUCUUUUCUCAAUUUCUUAGA